GAAUCGUCUGUUCCCCCGCAAGAUCAAAGGUUGAACUUGUAUAAUAAACGUUUUAAGCCGACUUCUAGACGAAAUUAAAAUCAAUAAAAUAGUUUUGAAGUGAGUUAGUGGAUUGACGAGUCUGUUGUGUGAUGCAACCACAAAGGCAUAAUGAAACAUUUCUUCUUGACUCGCAACAUAGCUGGGAAAAUUGUGGAAGUUCAACAACAAAGUUCAAGUUUUUCUAAUCGACCAAUCUUUAAUGCUUAACCCGUUCAUUCAAGUCUUUUAUCUGUUUGGAUUUGUGCCUUUUCAUUGUUUAUAUUGUUCACUUGCUUAGGCGUUUAACCUUUUCAGCUGGCACCGGCAAUGUGAGCAACAAAGCAAAACCAAACCAAACCAAGGACCUUCCUGCCCAGCCAUCCAAGCGAUUUUUCCUUGUCUUUUGCCCAACAACCUUUUGCCGUCGCCGUUACCGUCGCUUUUCCCCCUCUGCCUUGGACAACACACGCGUUACAUGGGAGAUGGCACAUGGCGGCGGCGGCGGCGGCGGCGGCGGCUAAAACCAAUAUUAAUACAACUAAAAGUUGCACACGGCCCCGACUUCAAUGACGUGUGCCCACGCCAAUGAAAAUCAAUGAAUUUUAUUGAGAAAAUUGCCACAUGCGUUUACUUUUGUUCCCAGCAAACUCGAUUCGGGCUUAAAGCUGAAUCCGUUUUUUUUUUUGUUUGUUUUUUUAUUGCAUACGGCGAGGCGCACUUCAAGGGCUGCGACUGCAGUUCGGGCCAAAGGGCCAGUGACCAUUAUUAAUUGACCAUUCGGUGCAGCGACCAUGUUGCUUGCCAGCCAUUCUAGCUAUAUGGCUGUUAAGCAGAAGACAAUGGCUUCCAUAAAUUUUAUACAGACACACACACACACACACACACAUGCAGAAGCGCUGCAAGGGUUUGUUGUACUCGGAUGAACCUUUUUUAGCUUAUCAUUGUUGUUGUGCCUUAUCAGAAGGCAGUGCACUGUGAAAAUGUCUUCGGCUGCCACACAAGAUAGCCAGAGAUCCCAGCAUAAUGUUGGCCCAUUUGCGAUAGUUGGGCAUUCAAGCGUUGAAUAGCAUCAUCAGCUACGUUUAGGGCGUGGUCAUUUAAAAGCCACAGCUUGAUGGCAUAUGUGUGUUUCUGGCCCUGAAGUAAGCCACUGAAGCAACUUUAGUUGAGAGAGCUUAAACUAAAAGGUUUCAUAUGCCAUUUUUCAGGCUAACUUGGCUAUUGUAUCUGACAGCUAUGCUGUAAAACUGUGCAUAAGCUCAUUAUAAAUGCUUUAAUGAAAAUACAGUCAAGCUCAGCUCAUUUACCAUUUGCUUAAUUGUAAAAACUAAACUGCAGGCUGUUACAUACAUAUAUAUAUAUAUAUACUACUACAUACAUACAUAAAUGCAUCGUCAGCAUUAUCCCAGCUGCCUUCCGGCUUAGUCUAUGCAAAUUAAUGAGCAUCUAACUUAUUUUUGACUUAAUGCAGAUAAAAUGUUGUAAAUGGCGUUUUAAUCAGUGCGCCAAGCCAACAAGCAAAAUUAAUUAAAUGCUCACUUCAAGCGCCGACCAACCUCUGCCGAACCCAUCAAAACCCACCCACCCCCAUACCAGAACCACAAACAGUUUCAGCAACAGCAGCAGCAACAGCAAAAGCAACAGCCACAAACUUAACACUCCACGCAGCAACCAUUCCUAUCUCCCUCUCUCUCUCUCUCUCUAUAUCUGUCCCUUGUUCUCUUGCUCUUAGCCCUUUGGCGCACAUCAGGUCUCACAAGCUGGCUGCUGUCCUCGCGCCGCUCAUCAAUUUUUGCAUUUUAAUGAUAUUUGAACCGCGAUGCGACCGCGGACCAGAACCAUAUCGACAUAGCCAACGUGCCCGGUGAUUAUGAUGGGGCCAUGCUUAUGACUAAAAUCUCAUCUAUGUUAAAUGAUGAAGAUUUAACCGAAUUUCAAAUGCUCUUUAUAUUUCUAUUUAGUUACAACAAGUCAGCCGCAUAAGUUGAACCCUCUGUUGUUAUAUUUAUAAGAAUAGCAGAUCAUGCAUGCAAGUAAAUAAGGCAGCCAACGAGUUCCCAGCACAGCACUUCAAUAGAAUUUGAAAUGCGAGGAGUUUUAGAUGAUAUGCUGUUGAGCUUGCAUUAAAUGAUAGAAGGACAAUCUAAACAAGGCAGCCAACAAUAUAUAAAAGCGCUGCCCAUUGCAGCUGCGCUUCAGUCGAAGCUUCGAAGUGGGCCGGUACGGAGGAUCUGAUAUUCUGUUUGCAUUGAAUGUUAAUAACAGAAAAUGUUAAUUUACAGAAGGUGCUGCACACAGUAUAUAAAGGGCGCCCAUUGCAGCUAGACUUCAGUCAAAGCUGUGGGGCGGGCGGGUGCAGAUCUUCACUUAGUGCUAAUGUGCGUGUGUGUUAAUAUAAAAAUAUGAAUAACAAAUUGUGUAUGCAAGCUACAAAGAAGAAGAGUCAGUAGUGUAAAUAAAGCAGCCAGCUAAUGGUAAGUUUGAAUUAAAUGUUAAUAACAGAUCACAUCAAUAACAGAUCAUGUUGGCUUACAGCAGGUGAAGCCCGCGUUAUAUAAAGGGCUGCCCAUUGCAGUUGUGCUUCAGUCGAAGCUGCGAACCGGGCAGGUACAGAUGGUCCAAAGUUUACAGCAGCUGCAGCCAACAGUAUAUAAAGGGCGCCCAUUGCAGUUGUGCUUUAGUCGAAGCUGAGGCAGGCCGUUGCAGAUCUUCAGUUCGUGUUUAUGUGCGUGUGUGUAAGAAGAAGAGCCAGUAUUAUAAAGGCAGCCAACUGGAACUAGGCUUCAGUUAAAGCUGCGAAUCGACCCAGUACGGAUGAUCUGAUGCGCCAACGAGGAAACACAAGCAACUGACGACAGCCUCGACGGCCUCGGCAUACACGAGCUACGUAUUGUCAUACGCUGUGUGUGAUGACGACGCCGACGACGACGACGACGACAACGUCACGACGUCGCCGCAGCAGCUGCGACGCUCGCGCCGGCGUUCCCGUUAACCAACAGGUUAUCUGCUGAUAAGCGCUCGAGUCCGAGCAAAUCGUUGUAUGAUGUCGGCAUAUACGAUGCAAUUUCCUAUCACAAGCCCGAACUGCUUGCGCGACUUUUCACUCAAUUGCAGCACGAAAACAUCGCCGAGUGAAAAUGUCCGAGUAGAAACAUUGAAUGUGCCUGUUGACGAGGCGUCCAACAGCUCAGCCCCGCCAGACAAGGGAAUCUGUCCAGCGCUCAAAUAAAUAAGCAGAUGCAAGUCUUUUGAUUUCUCGACUCGCUGUGAUGUGCUCAAAUAGAAGUCUUUCCCUCUCCUAUAAAUAGAUGUCAUGGAAUUUGUGG